rnacentral:rRNA from 1 species
GACGUAGGGCGCGAGCGUUGUCCGGAUUUAUUGGGCGUAAAGAGCUCGUAGGCGGUCUGUCACGUCGGCUGUGAAAUCCCGAGGCUCAACCUCGGGUCUGCAGUCGAUACGGGCAAACUAGAGUAUUGCAGGGGAGACUGGAAUUCCUGGUGUAGCGGUGAAAUGCGCAGAUAUCAGGAGGAACACCAAUUGCGAAGGCAGCUCGCUGGGACGUUACUGACACUGAGGCACGAAGGCCAAGGGAGCAAACGGG